rnacentral:piRNA from 1 species
UUACUCUUACAUCACUUACAAAU